ACAUGCAAGUCGAGCGGAAAGGCCCUUCGGGGGUACUCGAGCGGCGAACGGGUGAGUAACACGUGAGUAAUCUGCCCUUGGCUUCGGGAUAGCCACCGGAAACGGUGAUUAAUACCGGAUACGACACAUCACUGCAUGGUGCGUGUGUGGAAAGUUUUUUCGGCCAGGGAUGUGCUCGCGGCCUAUCAGCUUGUUGGUGGGGUAAUGGCCUACCAAGGCUUCGACGGGUAGCCGGCCUGAGAGGGUGACCGGCCACACUGGGACUGAGACACGGCCCAGACUCCUACGGGAGGCAGCAGUGGGGAAUAUUGGACAAUGGGCGGAAGCCUGAUCCAGCAACGCCGCGUGAGGGAUGACGGCCUUCGGGUUGUAAACCUCUUUCAGCACAGACGAAGCGCAAGUGACGGUAUGUGCAGAAGAAGGACCGGGCAACUACGUGCCAGCAGCCGCGGUAAUACGUA
rnacentral:rRNA from 1 species